AGCCUGGAAAAAGGGGUGUUGUUUCAUCAAUGGUUUUAACCUGGGUCGCUACUGGCAUGUUGGUCCCACCAAGACCUUGUACUUGCCGGCGCCGUUGCUCCAGCAAGGAACCAAUGAGGUGGUGGUUUUCGAGCAGUACACGGCAGCAUCUGAGAUCGUCUUCAGCGACGUUCCCAUCCUCUCCUAAACCUGCAAUAUUAUCUUGCUAAUAAAUUCAUGGAAUAUCA